CCUACGGGACGCUGCAGUCGAGAAUCAUUCACAAUGGGGGAAACCCUGAUGGUGCGACGCCGCGUGGGGGAAUGAAGGUCUUCGGAUUGUAAACCCCUGUCAUGUGGGAGCAAAUUAAAAAGAUAGUACCACAAGAGGAAGAGACGGCUAACUCUGUGCCAGCAGCCGCGGUAAUACAGAGGUCUCAAGCGUUGUUGGGAAUCACUGGGCGUAAGGCGUGCGUAGGCUGUUUCGUAAGUCGUGUGUGAAAGGCGCGGGCUCAACCCGCGGACGGCACAUGAUACUGCGAGACUAGAGUAAUGGAGGGGGAACCGGAAUUCUCGGUGUAGCAGUGAAAUGCGUAGAUAUCGAGAGGAACACUCGUGGCGAAGGCGGGUUCCUGGACAUUAACUGACGCUGAGGCACGAAGGCCAGGGGAGCGAAAGGGAUUAGAUACCCCAGUAGUC
rnacentral:rRNA from 1 species